UACGGGGGGAGCAAGCGUUGUUCGGAUUUACUGGGCGUAGAGGGCGCGUAGGCGGCGUGACAAGUCACUUGUGAAAUCUCCGGGCUUAACUCGGAGCGGCCAAGUGAUACUGUCGUGCUAGAGUGCGGAAGGGGCUACUGGAAUUCUCGGUGUAGCGGUGAAAUGCGUAGAUAUCGAGAGGAACACCUGCGGCGAAGGCGGGUAGCUGGGCCGACACUGACGCUGAGGCGCGAAAGCUAGGGGAGCGAACGGG
rnacentral:rRNA from 1 species